UACGUAGGGUGCGAGCGUUGUCCGGAAUUACUGGGCGUAAAGAGCUCGUAGGUGGUUUGUCGCGUUGUUCGUGAAAACUCACAGCUCAACUGUGGGCGUGCGGGCGAUACGGGCAGACUGGAGUACUGCAGGGGAGACUGGAAUUCCUGGUGUAGCGGUGGAAUGCGCAGAUAUCAGGAGGAACACCGGUGGCGAAGGCGGUCUGCUGGGCAGUAGCUGACACUGAGGCGCGACAGCGUGGGGAGCAAACAGG
rnacentral:rRNA from 1 species